UGCUCACUAUUGCUGUAAAAAAAAAGAAUCUCAUUUACUAAUCAUUAAUUACUAAUAGUAACAUUACCAACACACUACUCUCUUCGGUUGCACACAUAGAGUAAGAGUAUUUUCUGGUAAAUAUAGAUUUUAACACCUAAAGACUUGUUUUGUUGGGCUGAUUGUUGUCAGAGAUUUAGUAACUCAUAAGCAGAUUUGGCUGAAGAUGGCUAUUAUCUUUUGGCAGAAAGGCUACGGAAUGAGGAUGAGAAGUUUGUUGAUCAAUAUUAAUAUUAAUAUGAGUGACAGUUUUUCUCUGGAUAUUUAAUAUACCAUACUCAUAAAAGGUUGAAAAAUUAGUUGAAUUUUCUUUUUUUAAGUUUUUACAAUUGUGAAUUGUGGUUUGCGAUUGUGCAUGUGAUUGGAGGUAUUUAUUUAUUUUUAAUUGCUAGAGAGUGAGCAAGCAAUGUCAAAAUAGCAAGCAAUGUCAAAAUAUGUUAUGGAUAGCUCUUUUAACUCUCUCUCUUUGUGUGCUUAGAUAUUGUAUUUCAAGUGUCGGGACUUGGGUUGGGGUGGGGUGUGAUCUUGCAUGUUGUUAAGUAGCUCAAGAAUUGUUUUUUGUCAUGUCAUGUGUGGACUUGAUUGAAUAGGCAACAAGUAAUUUGAUUUUAAACUUUCAAGAUUCUUUCUGCUACUUCGUGCGUGAAUGUGUUUAAUUGGUAGAGUGGGUAAUUCUUUUUUCAAUAUUUUUUCUUUAGAUUAUUGUUGACCUGUUUAAUUUGUCAAGUGGCUUGUUAGAGAAUAUUGUUAUGUUUCUUUUGUACACUAUAUUGACAAUGUACUGAAUUUUAAUGGAUAUAGAGCUCCUGAAUACCAGUUCUGUUCUGUAUGUCUACAUUUAGGCAACAAAGUAUAAUUUGUAGAUGGUUUUAGUGUUUCCUUUUUUUUUCAUCUGUUAUUUAAAUAGCUCUAUAGUUUUGUUUUUAAAUUGAUUUUCUCUACAAGUUUUAAGUUGAAAUUAUAGUUCAGAGAUAUAAAUUCUGACAGGAUAAAAAUUGAGUUUGUUCUGCCCAAGUGUAUGUAUAUGCAGUUCUUAUACUAUUAAUCACAUUUACAAAUUUCCAAUCUUGCUAACUUCAGCCUUGAGGUGUCUAGUCAGAUUGAGGUUUGCGUGUUGAGAUCCCAGAUCGGUUAGGCAUAUAAUGGUUACAAUGGACUUUUUAAUGACUUGUGCCAUCCUCUUCCCUUGAGGCAAGCUUUCAGAGUUGAGAUGAACCGAAUCUGUUCUUCAAUUAUAAUGGUUUCCCAUUAGUUAUUGCCUUACUGGUAUUCUGCUUGAUUGUAGUUUAGCUGUUUGAUGGCAGGUUGAAUGGUUGGUUUUAUUUUUGCCUCCAUAAAAUUUCUCUUUUUUAAAGGAAUAUCUAUUCCUUAUUUGUGUUGUAUUUCUUCUCUUUUCUUUUAUUGUAAAAGUGUUCAUUGAGAUACAUAUUGCAGAAUCACAGCAUCAGUUUGAUGCUCGUGAGUUAGGGUUUCACUAAUUUCAUGUCUCUUGCUGACUUAUAUGAUCCUGUUAGAGGUUUUUGGGUGAAUGAUAGAUAUAUAGUUGAGGUUGAGGUUGCUGUAUGUAACCCUCUUGAUGAUUGGUCACAUUUCUCAAAAAAAAAAGAAACUGAUAUUGUUGGACUGAAGAGCCAAGGAGUUAUUACAUGAAUUCUCUUAUUCAUACAUCAUCAUAAUCCUUAUUUUAGAAUACAACUUUUUAACAAAAUUGUUAUAAAAUCAUUAUAAUAUAACUACUGUUUUUUUAAAUGCAUAUUGUAUAAUUAAUGUUGGCUUUUUUUCUCUGUUUAUAAUUGAUAUUAGGUAAACUAGAUAAGACUAGGCAUAAAUGUUUUUUAUUUUAAAAUUUUAAUUUAAGGCAGAGGCAAGCUUAUUUAUAAUCUCACUCACUCCAAUCUUAUAUAUAUUUUUUUGAGCUUUAUUUGUCUGCCUCACUGAGUGCCUGUCUCCUCCUCACUGCUGUUCAAAUUCACUUGCUUUUUUCCUUUUCUUUUCUUUGUAAUCUGAAAUUUCUUUAUUUCUCCACACCCAAUGCCUCAUAUGUCUGUUGUGUUUCUUUUCUUUUCUUUUGUCUCUUCAAUUCAAGGACGAUUGUGGAAUGCUUUUGCUUCUCUGAUUUUGAAUUGAACUUGAUUCUUUUUUCAAUAUCUCUGAUUCUACUUUUCUUUUGUUUGGAGUGCAAUGAGACUGGACUCCUUUGCGGUCCUUAUUGCUGUCUGUCUGUGUUCUAGUUCUUUCUUGAAUUUGUAAAAUCUUGGUUGCCCUUAUAUUAUGAGUAGUUUGAUCGACAUAGGAUGAAUAUUAGAGUAUAAAUCUUUUAAGGUUGUUCCCAAUCUUCAUAUCAUAUCUUCUAUAACGUUUAAAGUGUAGGUCAAUGUACAAGAUGAGUUUUGACACAGAAAUAUGUUAUUUUCGAAGCUUAAUGAUCUUAAGACAGUUCUUUCCUAUAUAACUUUUAAAGUGUGGGUGAAAGUGUGAGAUGAGUUUUGAAAAAUAAGUUAUGUUUUGAAGCUUAAUGACCCUAAAUGAAUUGAGAUGUUUGAGAUGUCAUGAAUCAACUUUUCUGGAAUGGUAUGUUCUAGUUGUCCCUUAAUUCGAAAUGAGAGGAAUUUUUAUUCAUCAACAAAAAAAAAAAAUGGUAUUUAUAGUUUUGACCCAAGGCCUAAUGUCCAAAAAAAUUGUUGCUUUAAUGAUGUUUGUGGUCAAGCAAUGUUAGAGAGUUUUCAUUGAGGUCUUUGAAGAGAAUUGCGAGAUUACACCAUUGUAGAUAUGGAUGAUAUUUACAAGUCAUCAUUCGUUUGGGUUCUUCUCCCUUCGAAGUUGAAAUGGCUGCAGAGACGAUACAAUGAACAAAGAAGUCAAAGAACACGGACAAGUGUACCUAUUCGUUUGUACCUCUUCCAUCUCUUUCUCUUCUUUACCUUGUGAUUACUUUUCCUUCUUUGAUCUUGCUUUUCUCUUCUUUACCUUGUGAUUGCUUUUCCUUUGAUUUUGAAUUGAAGUCGAUUCUUGUUUCUGUUUUCUGAUUUUUUUUCUCUUCUGUUUGGAGUGCUAUGAGAGACUGGAUCCUUCGCUGUCCUUAUUGCUGUUUUUCCUCUUUCUGGGUCUUGGUUCUUUCUUGAACUUGCGUUUUCUUGUUUUCAAAACCGGUGUUUUUCUUUUUUUAUUGAUUUUGAUAGCAUGCAAGAACAAGAAUGAUGACCAGAGGAUACUAAUCCGCUGUAUGCAAAUUUCAAUGAUCAUGUUUCCGUUGUAUUUCAUGUGUUGGGACUUGGGGUUCCUGUCACGUGGUUUAAUUUAAUGUGUACUACUUUUUUUACAAAAUGACCGGAGUGCUCUUUUCUGGGGAUGAUCUUUGACCUUGAGAGAAGUCGUGUGUAUUGAAACUUUUAUAUUCUUGUGUGUUUCUGCCUCUGCUUUAUUUCAAUAAGAUGCAAGAAUCUGACAAUCCAGGUGUCUCUAUAUCAAUAUGGUACAAGACUUCCUAAGUGAAGCAGUAUGAUACUUGUGAAAUUGUCGCGGUGAAGAUGGCAAGACUUCGUGUAUUGCAAUUUGUUAAGGAUUUUCCUAAUUUCCUUUGGUUUAGUGCUGUCUUACAAACAGUCUUUGAUUGUGUCUGAUUCACGAUGCAUAAACGAAUUUAUUUUUACAAGUAUUAUGCAUGAAUAAUUGUUAUUUUGAUUGACUUCAACUACUUAUUAGGUUUUUAAACUACAGAAAUUAAACUGCGCUAUUUUAUGAUGCUUACUCAUUGUCUCACAUGUUGCGGGAGAGAAGUAUGCAUGUUGCAAUUCUUGCAAUUUUUUUUUGUUUGUUGUUAUAUGUAGGUGGAGGGUCUCAGGAGAUCGGUGAAUUUUAAGAUUUUGGGAUAGUUUCAGUUUUGCACUAAUUUUAAGAUAGUUUUUUUUGCCUUACUUUUUGCACUUGAAUUUGAUUUCAGCUUUGGAAUUUCAAUCAUGGACACAUUUUUGAGGCAUGUAAAGACAAUCUCAAGAAGCUUCAGCUAAGUUAUCUAGAUUCACUUUCUUAUUGUUAAAAGGCAUAUUGGUAUGUUUGUAUUUUAUGUGUCCCUUAAAUACAAUUUUUUGUGCAUGUAUAGGAACAAUUAUAAUUGCAAUUUCUUGAAUUUCUUUUCUAAAUUUAACAUGCCAGUUGCUAUAAAAAAAUGAUUUUUGUGUGACACUACUUUGUUAUUAAUUUUCGUUUACUUGUGGCAAAAUAUAAUGCAGUUAUAAUUGGUGUAUGUUGUGGAUGCCUGGAACAAGGAAAAUGUCCACAUUGGUCUAUGCUUUGGAAGCCUUUAGAGGAACAUCCAUUUUGCUAACCAACUAUACAUAUUCUCCUUUGGUGUGGCAAACGGUCCAUAUGGAUAUUUGAGUUCCUUGCUCUAAUGACCUUGUGGCGAUGAAAGGUAGAAAUUGAAGCAACCGUUGGUUAUGAAUAUUAGGGUUCUUCGCACUGGUGACCCUGUGCGGAUGGAAGGUAGAAAUUAUGUAUUGCUUUUGC